rnacentral:rRNA from 1 species
AGGACGAACGCUGGCGGCGUGCUUAACACAUGCAAGUCGAGCGGAAAGGCCUUUCGGGGUACUCGAGCGGCGAACGGGUGAGUAACACGUGAGUAAUCUGCCCAUCGCUUCAGGAUAGCCAUCGGAAACGGUGAUUAAUACUGGAUAUGACAUUCCUUCGCAUGUUGGGGUGUGGAAAGUUUUUUUCGGCGGUGGAUGUGCUCGCGGCCUAUCAGCUUGUGUGGGUAGGUAGUCGACCUAACGACGUUCUUACGGGACGGUCGGCCGUCGUAGGAGGGUGACCGGGCCACACUGGGACGUCGAGACACGCCCGAGACUCCGUACGGGAGGCAGCAGG